rnacentral:rRNA from 1 species
AACGUAGGAGGCAAGCGUUAUCCGGAUUUACUGGGCGUAAAGCGCGUGCAGGCGGUUUGACAAGUUGGAUGUGAAAGCUCCUGGCUCAACUGGGAGAGGUCGUUCAAAACUGUCAGACUUGAGGGCGGUAGAGGGAGGUGGAAUUCCGUGUGUAGUGGUGAAAUGCGUAGAUAUACGGAGGAACACCAGUGGCGAAAGCGGCCUCCUGGACCGAUCCUGACGCUCAGACGCGAAAGCUAGGGGAGCAAACGGG